UUUUAUGAGAGUUUGAUCCUGGCUCAGGACGAACGCUGGCGGCGUGCCUAAUACAUGCAAGUAGAACGCUGAAGUCU
rnacentral:rRNA from 1 species